AUUGUAGGUGAGAUAAGUUUUUUUUUAAAUUGCGUGCUGAUAGCAUAGUCAUAUCUUUUUAUUAUGUUAAGAUGUAUAUACAAUGUAUCACAAGCAAUCUUUAUUCGUACAAUUAUUUCAGGGUUGUUUGUAGAUUUUACGAUAUAUUAAAUUUUGUCUUCCGUUUCUCUAAAUGAGCCAUGGCUCCAUGGCUCUAUGCAAUCAAAAGUCUGUAACGCCAAUUGCGCAUAACGUGGCGCUACAGACUUUU
rnacentral:sRNA from 1 species